rnacentral:rRNA from 1 species
GCUUAACACAUGCAAGUCGAACGAUGAAGCCCAGCUUGCUGGGUGGAUUAGUGGCGAACGGGUGAGUAACACGUGAGUAACCUGCCCUUGACUCUGGGAUAAGCGUUGGAAACGACGUCUAAUACCGGAUACGAGCUUCCACCGCAUGGUGAGUUGCUGGAAAGAAUUUUGGUCAAGGAUGGACUCGCGGCCUAUCAGCUUGUUGGUGAGGUAACGGCUCACCAAGGCGACGACGGGUAGCCGGCCUGAGAGGGUGACCGGCCACACUGGGACUGAGACACGGCCCAGACUCCUACGGGAGGCAGCAGUGGGGAAUAUUGCACAAUGGGCGAAAGCCUGAUGCAGCAACGCCGCGUGAGGGACGACGGCCUUCGGGUUGUAAACCUCUUUUAGCAGGGAAGAAGCGAAAGUGACGGUACCUGCAGAAAAAGCACCGGCUAACUACGUGCCAGCAGCCGCGGUAAUACGUAGGGUGCAAGCGUUGUCCGGAAUUAUUGGGCGUAAAGAGCUCGUAGGCGGUUUGUCGCGUCUGCUGUGAAAUCCCGAGGCUCAACCUCGGGUCUGCAGUGGGUACGGGCAGACUAGAGUGCGGUAGGGGAGAUUGGAAUUCCUGGUGUAGCGGUGGAAUGCGCAGAUAUCAGGAGGAACACCGAUGGCGAAGGCAGAUCUCUGGGCCGCUACUGACGCUGAGGAGCGAAAGGGUGGGGAGCAAACAGGCUUAGAUACCCUGGUAGUCCACCCCGUAAACGUUGGGCGCUAGAUGUGGGGACCAUUCC